UGGGGAAUAUUGCACAAUGGGCGCAAGCCUGAUGCAGCGACGCCGCGUGGGGGAUGACGGCCUUCGGGUUGUAAACUCCUUUCGCCAGGGACGAAGCGUUUUGUGACGGUACCUGGAGAAGAAGCACCGGCUAACUACGUGCCAGCAGCCGCGGUAAUACGUAGGGUGCAAGCGUUGUCCGGAAUUACUGGGCGUAAAGAGCUCGUAGGUGGUUUGUCACGUCGUCUGUGAAAUUCCACAGCUUAACUGCGGGCGUGCAGGCGAUACGGGCUGACUUGAGUACUGUAGGGGUAACUGGAAUUCCUGGUGUAGCGGUGAAAUGCGCAGAUAUCAGGAGGAACACCGAUGGCGAAGGCAGGUUACUGGGCAGUUACUGACGCUGAGGAGCGAAAGCAUGGGUAGCAAACAGGAUUAGAUACCCUGGUAGUCCAUGCCGUAAACGGUGGGCGCUAGGUGUAGGGACCUUUUGGGGUUUCUGUGCCGUAGCUAACGCAUUAAGCGCCCCGCCUGGGGAGUACGGCCGCAAGGCUA
rnacentral:rRNA from 1 species